rnacentral:rRNA from 1 species
AUUGAACGCUGGCGGCAGGCCUAACACAUGCAAGUCGAGCGGCAGCGGGAAAGUAGCUUGCUACUUUUGCCGGCGAGCGGCGGACGGGUGAGUAAUGCCUGGGAAAUUGCCCAGUCGAGGGGGAUAACAGUUGGAAACGACUGCUAAUACCGCAUACGCCCUACGGGGGAAAGCAGGGGACCUUCGGGCCUUGCGCGAUUGGAUAUGCCCAGGUGGGAUUAGCUUGUUGGUGAGGUAAUGGCUCACCAAGGCGACGAUCCCUAGCUGGUCUGAGAGGAUGAUCAGCCACACUGGAACUGAGACACGGUCCAGACUCCUACGGGAGGCAGCAGUGGGGAAUAUUGCACAAUGGGGGAAACCCUGAUGCAGCCAUGCCGCGUGUGUGAAGAAGGCCUUCGGGUUGUAAAGCACUUUCUAGCGAGGAGGAAAGGUUGAUACCUAAUACGUAUCAGCUGUGACGUUACUCGCAGAAGAAGCACCGGCUAA